rnacentral:rRNA from 1 species
CGCUAGCGAUAGGCUUAACACAUGCAAGUCGAGGGGCAGCAUGAUCUUAGCUUGCUAAGGUUGAUGGCGACCGGCGCACGGGUGCGUAACGCGUAUGCAACUUGCCUUACAGAGGGGGAUAACCCGUUGAAAGACGGACUAAAACCGCAUACACUUGUAUUAUUGCAUGAUAUUACAAGGAAAUAUUUAUAGCUGUAAGAUAGGCAUGCGUCCCAUUAGCUGGUUGGUGAGGUAACGGCUCACCAAGGCGACGAUGGGUAGGGGAACUGAGAGGUUUAUCCCCCACACUGGUACUGAGACACGGACCAGACUCCUACGGGAGGCAGCAGUGAGGAAUAUUGGUCAAUGGGCGAUAGCCUGAACCAGCCAAGUCGCGUGAAGGAAGACAGUCCUAAGGAUUGUAAACUUCUUUUAUACGGGAAUAACGGGCGAUACGAGUAUUGCAUUGAAUGUACCGUAAGAAUAAGCAUCGGCUAACUCCGUGCCAGCAGCCGCGGUAAUACGGAGGAUGCGAGCGUUAUCCGGAUUUAUUGGGUUUAAAGGGUGCGUAGGUUGUUCGGUAAGUCAGCGGUGAAACCUGAGCGCUCAACGUUCAGCCUGCCGUUGAAACUGCCGGGCUUGAGUUCAGUGGCGGCAGGCGGAAUUCGUGGUGUAGCGGUGAAAUGCAUAGAUAUCACGAGGAACUCCGAUUGCGAAGGCAGCUUGCCAUACUGCGACUGACACUGAAGCACGAAGGCGUGGGUAUCAAACAGGAUUAGAUACCCUGGUAGUCCACGCAGUAAACGAUGAUUACUAGGAGUUUGCGAUAUACCGUCAAGCUUCCACAGCGAAAGCGUUAAGUAAUCCACCUGGGGAGUACGCCGGCAACGGUGAAACUCAAAGGAAUUGACGGGGGCCCGCACAAGCGGAGGAACAUGUGGUUUAAUUCGAUGAUACGCGAGGAACCUUACCCGGGAUUGAAAUGUAGAUGACGGAUGGUGAAAACCGUCCUCCCUUCGGGGCUUCUAUGUAGGUGCUGCAUGGUUGUCGUCAGCUCGUGCCGUGAGGUGUCGGCUUAAGUGCCAUAACGAGCGCAACCCACAUCGGUAGUUGCUAUCAGUUUUCGCUGAGGACUCUACCGAGACUGCCGUCGUAAGGCGCGAGGAAGGUGUGGAUGACGUCAAAUCAGCACGGCCCUUACAUCCGGGGCGGCACACGUGUUACAAUGGCAUGGACAAAGGGCAGCUACCUGGCGACAGGAUGCCAAUCUCUAAACCAUGUCUCAGUUCGGAUCGAAGUCUGCAACCCGACUUCGUGAAGCUGGAUUCGCUAGUAAUCGCGCAUCAGCCAUGGCGCGGUGAAUACGUUCCCGGGCCUUGUACACACCGCCCGUCAAGCCAUGGGAGUUGGGGGUACCUAAAGUCCGUAACCGUAAGGAUCGGCCUAGGGUAAAACCGAUAA